rnacentral:rRNA from 1 species
GAGUAACACGUAUCCAACCUGCCGUCUACUCUUGGACAGCCUUCUGAAAGGAAGAUUAAUACAAGAUGGCAUCAUGAGUCCGCAUGUUCACAUGAUUAAAGGUAUUCCGGUAGACGAUGGGGAGUGCGUUCCAUUAGAUAGUAGGCGGGGUAACGGCCCACCUAGUCUUCGAUGGAUAGGGGUUCUGAGAGGAAGGUCCCCCACAUUGGAACUGAGACACGGUCCAAACUCCUACGGGAGGCAGCAUG